ensembl:lncRNA
AUGACAAUGAAGACCAGACAGGAAUUGAACCAAAAGGACAUUGGAAUUGUUAUCGAGGGGGAGAAAGUUGUUACAGGCCUUGAAGGUGUUCCAUGGGCUUGCUAUAUCCUCCUUGAAUUGACGUAUGCACUGAAUCUCCAUUAUCCCAGGAAUGUAAAGUAUAGUUUGAGGUAUUUCAGAAACUUAUUGUGGAGCUGGAUGCUUCAAAGGUGUCAAACGAAAUCUAGUCACUCAGGUCUAAACUGCUGACUUAAAAUAAGAUGGUUUUAUCUGUUCUGUGGUUCCAUGUUGCCAAAGACCUAACAUAUCUGAACAUUUUGUCUAGAAAGAGAAAAAUGCCCCAAAAAGUAACUGCAUUGUGUAUUUUAAACUAUUUGUACCUACAAAGAAACACAAAAAGUAACUUUAUUCUGCAGACUUGAAUUUAUAUGCUUUAGAAAGUAAUUGUGGAUAAAUAAAAAAACCCCAGUUGGUUCUGUUGAGAGACUA